CAUUUUUAUUAAUAAAACAAAUUAGGUGCGUUUAAUAAUUUAAUCGUAUUAUGUUCCCAACUAAUGUACAAUAUACAUUAAAAAAAAAAAAAAAACAAUUUUAAGCGAAAUUCGGUUGUACUAACGUAUUAUUAUUAUUCCAUAAUCAAUGGUAUACUGAUGUUUUUAAAUGCUGUGGUUUACACGAUUUCCAGUAAAAUGUUGAACUUUAAACGUGUACAAAAAAUAAAGCUGUCCUAGGAUAAUGGCGACGGGUGCAGCCACUGUUAUAGGUAAUUUAAUUUAUGCAUGUAAGCAACUACGAUUGACC